rnacentral:lncRNA from 1 species
GGGGAAGCCAUCUGCCAUGCUGGAGGACACCCAAGCAGCAAUGUGCAGAGGCCCACGUGGAGAGAAACUGAGCCUUCCUAGUCACAGCCACCAACUUGCCACCCAGCAGAACUCAAGUGUUUACAUGGCUGAUUGGGAAAUGAAGUGUUGUUGGGAUUUCUAGGAACAAAAAAAGGUGGUCCUUUCACCCUCUCUUCCUGCUUCCUGCUGCCUGAGACAGAGAUGUGAUGAUCGGAGCUAUCGGAGGCAUCUCAGACUUGGAGGUGACCUUGAAGCCGUGUGCUGAGGAGGUGGAGCAGAUCGACAUCUUGAUGACGCCAUUGAGCCACCAUGUCAAUAGUGGCCUGGCCUACUUCCAGAUGUUUUGUUUUUUUUACCUGGGAGAAAAAUAAACUUCUAUCUUACGUAA